rnacentral:misc_RNA from 1 species
AGUUUUUUUUUUUUUUUUUCAAUUAUCUUUUUUUAGUUGAGCUGAAGAAUUGCAGCCAAGGCCCCUCUGUGAGCAAGCAUGUUUUCUAUAUUGUAUAGACUUAAGUCGGGUCCUUAACUAUAGCUGAAUACAUUGAAGUUGAUGAUGCUGGCUCUCCUACACGAAAUAUAGUGCUUUUCCUAAAUUUCUUCACAUGAAAAAUCUAUAUCAACUUGCAUGUGAUCUUAAUUAUCGUAUUUUCCAUAUACUUGUAUGAAACUUUUACAGCUAUUCCAGUUUCUUUUUCUGUGCAACACUUCAUCUUAUUUUGAGCUGAUAUCCUCGAGCCGAGCCUCAUAAUUGAAAAGAAGAGGGAAGAACAUUAACGUGCUCUGUAACAGAAUCCUAUAAAGAUGAUUGCCAUCUAGUAAGGAAAAAAAAUAUACCAACGAAAUCGACAGUAUAAAGGAAUAUAGACAACAGAUGCCCCUAUAGAUCUUGGGGAAAAAAAAAACUGAGCUUUUGUCGUAUCCAAAAACAUGCAAUCCAGCAGAAAAUCAUCUUUGUCAAUGCAUGUAAGACCAAGAAAUGUAUUAAGUUGUCCUUUAGCUGUUGGUCAUUUAGAUUAAUGAAUCUCAGGUCUGCGAUAUCUUUUCUUCCUGUUAAGUGUAAACUGCACCGAAGAUCUCUUACGUGAUACUGCCUUCCAAAUCAUAUCUACAGCAUCACCAGGCUGAGAUGGAUACUGAUAUUCAAACUGCGGUGCAAUAUCCUUUAGUCUUUCCCACAUCAUGGUCCACUUGUCUCGCUCAAUACUCCGAAGAAGAUUCAGUAGGUAACCUUUCUUAACAGCAUCAGAUGCACGCACAAAUACACUGAAUUUUGAGUAGUCUAAGACAUCUUCAAAUGGUAGCUCAAUGUCAUCGCUUAUUAUCACAGGAACACAGUGACUCACAAUGGCAUCGAAGAGGCGAUUUGAGGAAGGGGUAUCGCCAGCGAUAUUGAGACAGAACUUGGAUGAGGCCAUUCCGUGACUAGCCUUGUUGAUCCCAUUCCCUCGAACAGUUCCAAAUGUAAAGUGUACAUUUUUCUCAUCUCUCAGAAGGUAAUACAGUUCUUGGCGAAUGACUCCUCCAUCCUUCCUAUAUAUUGCUCCUUGGAAAAACACCAAAAUGGGACGCUCGUCAAACUGAGCUGAUUUACCACUUGGAAUUGUCCUCACAACAUGCUUGUAAGGAGCUAUUAUAUCCUUCCCAAGAUUUGCAAUUUCAAGCGGGUAUCUACCGAAAUCUGCAAGAAUGAACAUGGCAGAACCCAACUUCUUUCUAGCAUCUAUCAUGCUAUUUGGAUGGUGGGCUACAAUCAAAUGAUCCCUUCCCCCAUAUCGCUUCCAUUCAUGCUGACCCAUUAAAAAUUGCACCAAUCUAUCCUGCAACAUCUUGUUCACGCUAACUUUUUCCUUUCCAUGAAGCUUAGAAUGUUGAUUGUAACUCAAAGAUGAGAAAAAUGGCACAAAAAUUAUAUCUGCUUGACUAGAAUUCUGCACUCUAACCGCACUGCAAGGUCUGGCCACCUUGGGUGUGCUUGAUGCUAGAAGAUCAAGGGUCAGCCAGUAUUCUAUACUGUGCUGUAGGUUCAACCCACCUGGGUAUAGUGGGAUAUGAUUAAGGUCAUCAACAUUUGGCCAUGUUUGAUUUGCUUUUCCCUUCCAAGCCAAUAACCCAAAAUGAAAAUCAGGAGGCAAGUCAUACAUAUAUACCCUUAAGAGAGCUCGAUUGUGGUCACAAUUUUUCCUUUUUUGCUUUCCAAUAGCAGCCAUUUCUGAAUUUGGACAUUUAACACCUCCACUUCUCAUUGAUGCUUUAGUAUCAAUCUGUGAUGCCAUGGAAGAGAAGAAGGGAAUUUUGACUGGUUCACUUUUGACAUUGGAUUUCAAAUAAAGUGCUGUACUAUUCAGAAGAAUUAGCUUGAAAACAGACCCGGGUAGGAGAGAAAUAUUGCCUAGUUGAAGAAGGGAAACUGAGGAAAUGAUAAAAAAGAACAUAGAAAUGGGAAUCAAGAAAAAAAGAAACCUAGAGGGAAGUCUGCUUUUCUCAGACAUUGACGGAAUUAGCAGAACCGCUAGAUUACUCAAGAUGAAUGAAAGCAAUUAAAGUUACUUUCCCAAUGAAGAGAGGUACAGUAAAGAUUUCUUGUAUAUGCCCAAGCAAAAUGUAUCUUGGCUUCUAAAUGCCUCAAUGUAGAGGGUAAUCGCUUGAAAAACGAGGUAUUAAUUCCUAAGCAUUAACAAGAAUUACUUCGUUUCCAUAAACAGGAUUAUCUCCAAAUAAAGGCUAGAAUUCCGCCCUUAAACCCUUGAAAAGAUUUCAAGGAUUCAUCUACAACAUAUUGUCAACAAAUAUCAACCAUCAACCACCUGAAAAUAUCCAAAACACAACUCACUUAUUCAGUGCUUAUAUUUUCUGAACUUGUUCUUCAUGAUUCUGUAAAAAAAAUAAAAAACACGAAUGCUUCUCUUCUUCUUUGAGCUAUCAGAGUACGUACUCCAUCUGCAAACCAAGUCGAUAAAAAAACUCAAAAAAUCAUAAUUUUGAGCAGGCACAUAUUCAUGGAAAGUUGAGGAACAUCCUAAACAAAUGAAAAACAGAGUGAGAAACAAGUAUCAAAUCAAACUUUUAUCAUCUGGGCAUGCAAGAUAUAUGAUUUGAUUAAACGGGUCAAUUAGAACUUGCAAGAAAGAGUACCCGGUCAGCUAGGUUUUCAAGUUUCCAUGGCCUUCAAGCACCUUUCCAGUCUGUGAAGCACGCAGGGGAAGGCAUGUCUGGAAAAUUCGAAAGUCUCCGC